UAGGGAAUCUUCCGCAAUGGGCGAAAGCCUGACGGAGCAACGCCGCGUGAGUGAUGAAGGUCUUCGGAUCGUAAAACUCUGUUAUUAGGGAAGAAUAAAUGUGUAAGUAACUAUGCACGUCUUGACGGUAUCUAACCAGAAAGCCACGGCUAACUACGUGCCAGCAGCCGCGGUAAUACGUAGGUGGCAAGCGUUGUCCGGAUUUAUUGGGCGUAAAGCGAGCGCAGGCGGUCAAUUAAGUCUGAUGUGAAAGCCCCCGGCUCAACCGGGGAGGGUCAUUGGAAACUGGUUGACUUGAGUGCAGAAGAGGAGAGUGGAAUUCCAUGUGUAGCGGUGAAAUGCGUAGAUAUAUGGAGGAACACCAGUGGCGAAGGCGACUCUCUGGUCUGUAACUGACGCUGAGGCUCGAAAGCGUGGGUAGCAAACAGG
rnacentral:rRNA from 1 species